rnacentral:rRNA from 1 species
AACCUACGGGGGGCAGCAGUGGGGAAUAUUGGUCAAUGGGCGGGAGCCUGAACCAGCCAAGUCGCGUGAAGGAAGAAGGUACUUAGUAUUGUAAACCUCUUUUGUCGGGGAACAAAGGCGCCCACGGGUGGGCGGAUGAGUGUACCCGAAGAAAAAGCAUCGGCUAACUCCGUGCCAGCAGCCGCGGUAAUACGGAGGAUGCGAGCGUGAUCCGGAUUUAUUGGGUUUAAAGGGAGCGUAGGCGGACAGUCAAGUCAGUGGUAAAAAUG